UGGGGGGGGCUAUGCACAUCAGGAAAAUACGCUGACUGUGGCUUGUUCAUGGAUAGAGUUAUCUGCCUGCUUCUCAUCAUUUCUAGACGCGAAGCGCCUCGGCAUUAGAACGAAUCGCUCGUCUUGAGCGAGAAACCAGAAGAGAACGAUGACGCGGCGCAACACUUCGUAUAGAUUAGACAACGCGAGCGUUCUCUGAGCUAUUCCGGGAUGCGCAUCAUGAGCCUCUUAGCAUUCAGUGCUGGUUGCUACAGGGACUCUGAGCAGCCAAACUAUUCAAACCACGCAAUUUUCCCUUUUUGUUUAACAGCGCAGUUCUUAUAUUUGUUGCGCUGGGACCGCUUCGCUGCAGUCGAACAGCGAGCGUCGUAAUGCGUGUUUUACGGCGUUCGAGGGAGCCGCAUUCAAGCAAGGCCGGGACAAUUUUGUCGCAAGCUCUGGUAUGGGUGCACCAAAAGUAAGCCCUUUACGCCGCAGCAAAAACACUAAAGUUUCCUAUCGUGUUUGUGUAUCUGUCGUCACUGCAGUGGAGACGCUAAAGUGCAAUAGGAGAAACUCAACGAAGGGAAAUGAUGCUAGCAGCGCCACUUCAGGAGUAGGAAAGAAGCAGCAACUCAAGGAUUGUCGGUAUUGGAAAGGUUUGUUUUCAACGCUUUAUUCAGGAAAAAAUGAAAACUGCGCGGUGUCAUCAAUGUCAUGAACCUUGAUCAGGCCAGUUCAAACGACAGCGCUAUGGCGUCCCGAGUGGGUGCGGAUGGCGGCAC